GAUCCCUUCAAGUGACCAUGAAUAUAUUGUUGACAAGAAGGAUCCGUGUGAGGUGCUGGAUGAGGGUAUCACUUCUGAUGGGAAUUGUUCCAAUAUGAAGACAAACUGCAAGCCUUUGAUUGAUUUUCUUGAUGAAAAUGGUGCUGAAGUUCCUGGAUUGGAUGAUAUAAGUAGUGAAGUUGAUAUUAUGAAAUAGAAAGGGAAAACUGUUGAUGAUAGUGUACAUAUUGAUAGGGAGUGCAGCCUCGAAAUUGAGGUCCUCUUUAAUUCUCCUCCCAUGAAAACUACGGAUGUACUUUCUGCUGUUCUUGAUGGAUCCCCUGUUCAUGUGAUAAAAAAAAGAGAUUGUUUACAAUCUUCCUAGGGGU